GUAGUACUGCCUCCGUCCGAAAAAGCUUGUCCCAUAAAUGGAUGUAUCUAGCAUCAAGUUAAUGCUAGAUACAUCCAUUUAAGUGAGAAGCUUGGGACAAAUUUUUCCGGACGGAGGGAGUACUAA
rfam:Triticum aestivum genome assembly, contig: Triticum_aestivum_CS42_TGACv1_scaffold_345549_4DL